rnacentral:rRNA from 1 species
AGAGUUUGAUUCUGGCUCAGAACGAACGCUGGCGGCAGGCUUAACACAUGCAAGUCGAACGCUCCUAGCAAUAGGGGAGUGGCGCACGGGUGAGUAACGCGUGGGAAUGUACCCUUUAGUACGGAAUAACUGCGGGAAACUGUAGCUAAUACCGUAUACGCCCUUCGGGGGAAAGAUUUAUCGCUAAAGGAUCAGCCCGCGUCAGAUUAGGUAGUUGGUGGGGUAAUGGCCUACCAAGCCUACGAUCUGUAGCUGGUCUGAGAGGAUGAUCAGCCACACUGGAACUGAGACACGGUCCAGACUCCUACGGGAGGCAGCAGUGGGGAAUAUUGGACAAUGGGCGAAAGCCUGAUCCAGCCAUGCCGCGUGAGUGAUGAAGGCCUUAGGGUUGUAAAGCUCUUUUGUCAGGGAAGAUAAUGACGGUACCUGAAGAAUAAGCCCCGGCAAACUUCGUGCCAGCAGCCGCGGUAAUACGAAGGGAGCUAGCGUUGUUCGGAAUUACUGGGCGUAAAGCGCGCGUAGGCGGCUAUGCAAGUCAGAGGUGAAAUGCCGGGGCUCAACCCCGGAACUGCCUUUGAAACUGCAUAGCUAGAGUAUUGGAGGGGAGUGCGGAAUUUCUAAUGUAGCGGUGAAAUGCGUAGAUAUUAGAAGGAACACCGGUGGCGAAGGCGGCACUCUGGACAAUUACUGACGCUGAGGCGCGAAAGCGUGGGGAUCAAACAGGAUUAGAUACCCUGGUAGUCCACGCCGUAAACGAUGGGUGCUAGCCGUUGGGAGGUUACCUCUCAGUGGCGCAGCUAACGCGUUAAGCACCCCGCCUGGGGAGUACGGUCGCAAGAUUAAAACUCAAAGAAAUUGACGGGGACCCGCACAAGCGGUGGAACAUGUGGUUUAAUUCGAGGCAACGCGAAGAACCUUACCAGGGUUUGACAUGCUUCUCGCGGACUUCAGAAAAGGAGUCCUUCAGUUCGGCUGGAGAAUGCACAGGUGCUGCAUGGCUUUCGUCAGCUCGUGUCGUGAGAUGUUGGGUUAAGUCCCGCAACGAGCGCAACCCUCGUCUUCUGUUGCUACCAGGUUAUGCUGAGCACUCUGAAGAAACUGCCGGUGAUAAGCCGGAGGAAGGUGGGGAUGACGUCAAGUCCUCAUGGCCCUUACACCCUGGGCUACACACGUGUUACAAUGGCGAUGACAAUGGGUUGCUAACCUGCAAGGGUAUGCGAAUCUCUAAAAGUCGCCUCAGUUCGGAUUGUACUCUGCAACUCGAGUACAUGAAGUUGGAAUCGCUAGUAAUCGUAGAUCAGCACGCUACGGUGAAUACGUUCCCGGGUCUUGUACACACCGCCCGUCACACCAUGGAAGUUGGUUCUGCCUUAAGUCGGUGCGCUAAUCUGGCAGCCGCCCACGGCAGGGUCGAUGACUGGGGUGAAGUCGUAACAAGGUAGCCGUAGGGAACCUGCGGCUG